UUGGGGGGCAGCUGUUGCCAAGGAGUGCCUAAGAAUGCAAGGCCACACCCACAGGAAGUGCUGCGUGCAGUUUAGGGCAUCUCCAGCUGUAGAGAAGACACAGGAGGUCUCAGAAAGGGCGGACACUGAAGGCCAAGUGCGUCAGAAAAAUCACUGGGGUCAAGCUGCACACCGAGCUAAUUAUACACUUUCCAUGCAGUGGAGAGUUGAUGGCUGCGGGGGGCUGUAGCUCACGUGAUGGUUACUGAGUGGAUUCUACCUACAGGCUCCUCAGCAGGGCCUAAAAGGACAGUUAUCUUUUGUCGAUAAUACAGGCAGGAAACUGAGCGCCUCUCCAGUGUGUUUACCCAGACCAUAUUGUGAAGAUACACCCGUAUCUAUCCCUGAAGCGUUCAGAGGUAUGUGCAUAUAAGUAUAGCACCCUUGGAAUCCAGAAGAGAAUGUCAGAUCGCCCUGGAACUGGAAUUCUAGGCUGUUGUGAGCUGCCUGGUGUGGAUGCUAGGGACCCAACCCAGGACCUCCGCAAGAACAGCACACGCUUGUGAGUACUGAGUCAUCUCUCCCCAGCCCCUGAAAACUGGGGUGGUGCUUUUGUCUGACUGUUGUUUUCUGAGACAGGGACUCACUGUGUAGCCCUGUCUGGCCUCAAACAGAGUUCUGCCUGCCUCUGCCUUCACUGGGACUGAAGAUCGAAGGCACAAUGUCCAACUUUUGCUUUGGUUUUUGUUGUUGUUUGUUUUUUGUUUUUGACUCCAGGUCUCAAGCAACUCAGGCCAGCCUCCCACUUACCGUGCAGCAGAGGGUAGCCUUGAAAUCCUGAUCCUCCUGCCUCUGCCUCCUAAACACUUUGAUUACAAGCUUGUGCUGCCACGCGCCCUUCUGCACAAUACUUUGAGGUCGGCCUCUGAGCUUUACUACUGCGCACACGUCCCUAAAGGCUAGUCCGUGUUCUUUUUCCACUUCAUGUUCCUGCCAGUUCCUGCCAGUACAUAACUCUCCAUGUUGACAGUUCUCACCUCUGUCAUUUUUAAUAGCUAUAUAAUAAUCCCAUUGUUUGCUCAGUCACUUCCCUGUUAGACACUUGGACUGCUUCCAGGUUUUCACUGUUAUAACUGCAGUUGCCAGGACAUCUGUGCACAUUUUUCCGUUUGAAUUUUUUCCCCUCCGGGGGAGUGUUCACACAUGGGAAAGCAGUAAGUGAGGGAGAGAGGAUGUCUGUCACGUGUUGCUAUAUUUCUGUUCAAAAGGGCCAAUCACCGUGUGAUCUGCUGUGUAAGCCAGAGGCUUUGAUACAACUCAGGAGUUGUCUUCAGUUGAUGCUUGAUUUGGUUUAUUUCAACCCCACUAACAUGGAUAGAGCGCCUCCUGUAGGCCAGGCAUAAUUCUACACUCUGGGCUUGAAAUGUUAAGCCUUUGUGCCUGCCUUCAUCAGAUAGGAAUCUGUUGAAAGAGAAAGACCAGAUCAUUCCAGUUUGGCAUGGAAAGUACCAGAGAGAAAGAAAGAAAGAACAGGCAGCUAAAUUCUGCUGAGCAUAGAGGGGGAGCUAGCAAUGUAAAGGAAAUGAGGUUGACAGUCUCAACAGAAGCCACCUUGUGAUGACUGACAAGUCCCUUAUGGGGUGAAGAGUCACCAAAGGUGCUUCAGCUGUGGCCUUGGGCUAGUUUUGACAUCUUUGUCAACUGUAUGGAGGAUGGUUUUCUUAAUUAAUUGCAUACCUAAAAGCCAGGAGAUAAGCUAGAAGCAUAUUGAAUAUUGAAGCAGCUGGGGGAGAUUAUCAUGGAUUGGUUAGUGUUGAGAAGAUGAGACAGAAGGGAUAAAGGACCUGCCAAUGUUUAGGUCAGAUAUGGUGGCACACACCUGUCAUCCCAGUACUUGAGUGGUGGAGACAAUGAAUCAGAAGUUCAAAAUCUUCCACAACACACACACACAACACACACACACACACACACACACACAGAGAGAGAGAGAGAGAGAGAGAGAGAGAGAGAGAGAGAGAGAGAGAUACAUCAGAAACAAAACUGACUAAUUAGAACUGGCAGUGUAACUCAGUCAGUAGAGUGCUUGCCUAGCAUUCAUGAAACCCUGGAUUCUACCCCAGCACUGUAUAGUAUACUGACCAUGAUGCAUGCCUACAAUCGUAGCAAUAGGAAGGAGGAAGGAGGAUCCAAAGUUCAAGGUCAUCUCUAGCUAUAUAAUGCAUUUGUGGCCAGCUUGGGAUACGUGAGAACCUGUCCCCUGUUGACGGAGGCUGUUAGUUUGUUCCUGGCUGCCCAGAACCAAAAUAACCACACAGAAACUAUAUUAUUUAAAUCACUUCUUGGUCUAUUAGCUCUAGCUUCU